rnacentral:rRNA from 1 species
AACGAACGCUGGCGGCAGGCCUCAUACAUGCAAGUCGAGCGGUCCUUCGGGACAGCGGCGAACGGGUUAGUAACGCGUGGGAACGUGCCCUUUAGUACGGAAUAGCCAUUGGAAACGAUGAUUAAUACCGUAUACGCCCCAAGGGGGAAAGAUUUAUCGCUAAAGGAUCGGCCCGCGUUAGAUUAGGUAGUUGGUAGGGUAAUGGCCUACCAAGCCGACGAUCUAUAGCUGGUUUGAGAGGAUGAUCAGCAACACUGGGACUGAGACACGGCCCAGACUUCUACGGAAGGCAGCAGUAGGGAAUCUUGGACAAUGGGCGAAAGCCUGAUCCAGCCAUGCCGCGUGAGUGAUGAAGGCCCUAGGGUUGUAAAGCUCUUUCGCCAGGGAAGAUAAUGACGGUACCUGGUAAAGAAACCCCGGCUAACUCCGUGCCAGCAGCCGCGGUAAUACGGAGGGGGUUAGCGUUGUUCGGAAUUACUGGGCGUAAAGCGCACGUAGGCGGAUUAAUAAGUCAGGGGUGAAAUCCCGAGGCUCAACCUCGGAACUGCCUUUGAUACUGUUAAUCUUGAGUUCGAGAGAGGUGAGUGGAAUUCCGAGUGUAGAGGUGAAAUUCGUAGAUAUUCGGAGGAACACCAGUGGCGAAGGCGGCUCACUGGCUCGAUACUGACGCUGAGGUGCGAAAGCGUGGGGAGCAAACAGGAUCAGAUACCCUGGUAGUCCACGCCGUAAACGAUGAGAGCUAGUCGUUGGAGAGUCCGCUCUUCGGUGACGCAGCUAACGCAUUAAGCU